rnacentral:lncRNA from 1 species
UGACCCACUCAGUUUCUUGUAUUACAGGUUGUGGCAAUCGAGCAUAGAUGUGAUGUCUUGGAUGAGGGAUUACAGAUUAUAGGCCUGUAGAUAUGAAUAAAUGUUGUAAGGCUUAUAUUGUAUUGUUUAUGCUUUUGAUCUGUAUAGAACAAGACAUCCUGAGGUUUUUAAUGAAAUACAUUUCCUCGGAAAUGCUUUGAUGAAUCUUUAUCAUAUUUUAUUUUGGGAACAAAUUCCGCAACACGUUUACUUAAAAUAUUACUCUAAUUUUUAAACAUAUCAUAAACAAAUCGGUCUUUUCUGGCCGUGAAAAUGGGGAUGUCACAAUCUUACAUAGUAUAGUGAGAAGACUCACAUUGCCAAGGUAAUCAACAGCUAACAGGUCUCACAGCCAACGAAUAGGUGUUAUACACCUCCUAAUAAAUCACACAAGAUAAACCAUUAGUCUACCUUCUAAAACUAGAAAUUUGACCAAAAGUCAAUGGUCAAGGCCAAAGUCAACAGCCAACAUAACUAACAGUUGAUUCUCACGUCGUGACCAUCCUAUGUUCACCUCGUGGCUAAAAAACUCAACCCCAAUCCAAAACUUCUAGUUUCGAACAACUCAUUCGCGAUCAAAACGAUUUUCAUGUCGUGAUAUCCAUGCCCCCACGUCGUAACGGAAUCCGUCCAAAACAAUCAGGGAGUCUCAUCAGCACGUCGUGAUGUAACAGCCCGGAAUCUCAGGUAUUAUUAAAAUUAUGUUUUUGGGGAGAUUUAAGAGGGGACUCGGCGAGUUGGAGCCUAGACUCGCCGAGUAGGAUCGCAGACUUGGUCGCGGGAUCGCGACGGGACUCGACGAGUCCAGGUAUGGACUCGGCGAGUCGACGCUGUUCCGCAGAAACCCUAACCGUUCAGUUUGAAUCGUAUAUAACGCCUCUUAGGCCGUCAUUUUCAGUCUUUUGGUCGAUUGAGAAGAACCCUAAUCGCUGUGGACGUCUAGAGCAGGAGAGAAAGCUUUUGGAACUUGGAAGAAUUGGUUGGACAAGAAGAAGAAGAAAUUGAUCAAAGGAAUAUCAAGGAGGAUCGAGUCCUGAGGUUUGGGGGACACAGAGAGAACGUUCUCAGGUAAUACUCGGAUCAAUUAUGUUAGUUAAUGUGCCUAUGAACCUAGGGUUUAUGAAAAACCCAUUUAGUGAUUAGAUGGGUUAUUAUGUUAUUACCCAGAUGUUAUACCCACAGUAAAGAGAUGUUUAGACGUCCAGAGGGUCCCAUGGUUGUAUAUCUUGGGGCCAUACGUAAUUCAGGAAGCAGUUACUCGUCUGCAUGGCAUGGACUCGCCGAGUUGUUCUUCAGACUCGGCGAGUAGCUUGAAGAUUUACUGGGACUCGCCGAGUUGUUCUUCAGACUCGGCGAGUGGAGUCGGGGUGGCCCCGCGAUUCUUCCAGGAGUAACUCGUCGGGUCGAUGAGGGUACUCGACGAGUAGAUAAGGAAUCUCAGAAAGUUGGAAGACGUCUAGACUCGCCGAGUCGCCAUGGUACUCGCCGAGUCCGGUUGAGCUGACCGUUGACCGUUGACCAGAGUUGACCUAAGUCUGACUUCUUAGGGAUAGUCACACUUAGAAGAUAUGAGUGUUAAUGAGUUAUGUAAUGUUAUAGGAGGGUUGUAGCUCGUUGGUUUGUGCGCGAGUGAUUUCAGGAGUUGCUAGCUUUCAGCACUUACGAGGUGAGUCUUCUCACUAUACUGUACCCGGAAGGGUUUGACUGUGUGACCGGAAGGUCAAGUAUGUUAUGUAUUAUGUUUAUAUGCUAUAAGUGGUAAGUUAAGUGUUAUAUGGAUAUGUAUGCUAUAAGUGGUAAGUUAAGUGUUAUAUGGAUAUGUAUGCUAUAUGUGGUAAGUUAAGUGUUAUAUGUGCUAUGUAUGAUAUGUGGGCCGGAAGGCAAUAUGUUAUGGGCCGGAAGGCGAUUAUGUUAUGGGCCGGAAGGCGUUGUAAUGAGGACCGGAAGGUCAGGGCCUGGAAAGGCGUAUGUGCGUAAGUGUAUAUUGGGGAACUCACUAAGCAUUUAUGCUUACAGUUGUUGUGCAUGUAUUUCAGGUACUAGCGAGGACCGUGGGAAGGCGCCGGCAUGAUCGAUACACACUGAAGAUUGUUUUAUGAUCUUGGGAGUUUGAAUAAUUGUAUUGACCGAAUAAUUAAACUGUUUAUGCCUUGUUUUUAAUGGAAAUAAUUAUGUUUUAAAAAUGAAAAAUUUGUUUGAAAAAUUUGAGUUGUUACAAUUGGUAUCAGAGCCUUGGUUUGAGGGAUUCGGGUGCACCUUCGGGGGUAACUGAACUCAAACCGAGGAUUUGAGGAAACUUUUCAAAUAAAGGCAUAAACUUUUGUAAAUGGUUUUGUGGUAAGCAAGAAAGAAGCAGUGUGUACGAUCAGUCAGCGCCCGAACGGUAAAGAUCCCCAAAAUACCUUACAAUAUUAUAUGAUAUGAAUUGUUAUGCAUGCUAGAAGACUAGGUAUUCAUGAUAGGACUAGAGUGGCCUGAUUUGUGAUGCCUUAGUCUAGGGAAGUUGCUUAUAUGAGAUGCUUUGCUAGUAUGCGGGUAGAUAGAGCGUAUCAGAAGUAGAGUACUCACUAUCUGGAGUUUGGGGAGGAGGACUUGGGAUGAACAUUGAUGCGGUGUGGUCGGUAGUAUUGGGCCCGUACUACCGAGGACACCGGGUCAGUGGGAGGCCCAAGUAAGAAUCCCUGGAUAUCUGGGACUGAGUAGGGUUGCGUGUCGAGUACGAUUAUACUCGGUAGAAUCUCUGAUAGUUUUAUGUUGUAUUUCAGAGAUAUCAUGGUUAGACCGCGGCACGGGGCAAGUACGAGCGGUGUGAGUGACGAGGAUAUUCGUCAGAUGAUCCACGAGGAGGUGGCGGCGGCGAUCCGGGCUGAGAUCCCGGAGAUGUUUGGGUCUAUCAAGACCACCCUGAUGGAGACGUUCGACGAGCGGUACGCCGCAUUGACUGAGGCUGCAACCGCUGCAGCUACCGCAGCUGUGGCCGCUGCUAGGCCACAGGGGGGUGAUUCAUUGCUGUUCCGAGAGUUCAGCAACACGAAGCCACCAGAGUUCGAUGGGACGCAGGAUCCGAUUGCUGCGAUGAGGUGGAUCGCAGAUAUAGAGGGGUGCUUCUAUACUUGUUCAUGCCCGGAGCACCUGAGGGUACGGUUCGCUUUGAACCAGCUCCGUCUGGGAGCGAAGGACUGGUGGAAGUUCGUGACAGCGAAUUUCACUUUGGCAGAGACUACAGCGGUGACAUGGGAGGGGUUUACUGCCAUGUUCAGGGAUGAGUACGUUCCCCCGGUGGAGAGGGAACGAUUGGUGCAGGAGUUCUUAACCCUCAAGCAGGGUACCGAUUCUGUUGCGGUGAUUACACGGAAGUUUCAUGAGAGGGCGAUGUUUUGCCCUGAGCUGGUGUCCUCAGAGCAGGCUCGGAUGAGCCGAUACUUGGGUGUCUUGAGGAGGGAUAUUCGGGAGUUUGUGUCAAACUCCACUUACCAUACUUUUGCUGAGCUUCAGGCGAAUGCCAGGAAGCGCGAGAUCGAGUUGGAGACCCAGGCUAGGGAGGAGGCCGAGUCUCAGCGGGUGGAUCGGCGACCGGCUCAGUUCCAGCCGGCAGCCAAGCGGACCAAGUCCGCUGAUUCGAGGACAGGAGGUUCGAAGGGUCGCACUUGCGGGAAGUGCGGCAAGAGUCAUGAUGGAGUAUGUCGAUCUGGUGCUUGCUACAAGUGUGGCAAGGAGGGGCACAUUGCUAGGGAGUGCCCCAAGGGAUUUUCGGUUUGCUUUCAUUGCAACCAGACUGGCCAUAGGAAGGCCGAGUGCCCUCAGCUUCUUCAGGGAUCUGCACCUGCUGCCGGAGUUACUGCGACUCGACCGGUGAAGGCCGAGGCCCCGAGGGCUCGGGGAAGAGCCUUUCAGCUGACAGCGGAAGAGGUCCGCGCUGCGCCCGAUGUUGUGGCAGGUAUGUUGUAAUUCAUGUAAUUAUUUUAAUGUCGAUAUGUUAUGCUUAUGUUGUUAUGCGCGUAGGUACUUUCCUUGUGAACUCUGUGCCUGCCUUAGUGUUAUUUGACUCGGGUGCGAGUAGGUCCUUUGUGUCCUUGGCCUUUAGUCAGCAUAUUGGCGUUAGUCGUGAGUCGUUGAGUCGACCUUUGAGAGUCUCUAUAGCUGACGAGAAGGUGAUUUGUGCUACGGAGGUUCUUCGGGGAUGUGUACUAGAGAUUUUCGGGGUUGGAUUCCCGAUUGAUCUGAUUCCUAUCGCGAUGGGGGAUGUCUGUGUCAUCGUGGGCAUGGACUGGCUGAGCCGGUUCGGCGCUGUCAUCGACUGUGAGCGUCAGUUGGUGACUAUACGAGACCCUAGAGGGGGAGUUCUUUCGGUAUACGGCGAGGGUACCCGUUCGGGAUCAGCUUUUUGUUCGGCCGCUAGGGCGAGGCAGUGUCUACGGCAGGGCUGUAAGGGUUUCGUGGCGUAUGUGAUGGAUACGCGGGAGGUUUCUGAGAAACCGAAGUCAGUUGAGGAAGUUCCGGUGGUGCGCGAGUUUUCAGAUGUCUUUCCCGAGGAGUUGCCGGGAGUACCGCCUGUGAGGCAAGUAGAGUUUAGUAUCGAUCUGGUUCCGGGGGCAGCGCCUAUUGCUAAAGUGCCCUAUCGUCUUGCACCUCCAGAGAUGCAAGAGUUGUCCUCGCAACUCCAGGAGUUGCUGGGAAAGGGAUUCAUUCGGCCGAGCAGCUCGCCAUGGGGAGCACCUAUUCUGUUCGUCAAAAAGAAGGAUGGUUCACACCGGAUGUGCAUUGAUUACCGGGAGUUGAACAAGCUAACGGUCAAGAACCGUUACCCGUUGCCGAGGAUCGAUGAUUUAUUCGAUCAGUUGCAGGGAGCAUCUUGGUUUUCCAAGAUCGAUCUGAGGUCAGGAUACCAUCAGGUGAGAGUACGGGAUGAGGACGUCCAGAAGACAGCGUUUAGGACGCGAUAUGGGCAUUAUGAGUUUGUGGUGAUGCCUUUUGGACUCACCAAUGCCCCGGCUGUGUUCAUGGAUCUCAUGAACAGGGUAUGCAGGCCGAUGUUGGAUCGGUCAGUGAUUGUAUUUAUCGACGACAUUCUGGUGUAUUCGAGAUCUAGAGAGCAGCAUGAGGAGCAUUUGAGGGAGGUCCUUGAGGUAUUGAGGUCGGAGAAGCUUUAUGCAAAGUUCUCCAAAUGUGACUUCUGGUUGCGGGAAGUCCAGUUUCUAGGACAUGUGGUUAAUCAGAAAGGGAUAUUGGUCGAUCCGGCCAAGGUUGAGGCGGUGAUGAGUUGGGAGGUGCCGAAGUCACCCUCUGAGAUCAGAAGUUUCCUUGGGUUGGCAGGGUAUUAUCGGAGAUUUAUCAAGGAUUUCUCCAAGAUCGCAGUGCCACUCACCAGAUUGACCCGGAAGGGUGUUACAUUCUCAUGGGGGCCCGAGCAGCAGACCUCCUUUGAGACACUUCGCCAGAGAUUGUGCGAAGCCCCGGUAUUAGCUCUCCCAGAAGGGAUGGAAGAUUUCGUGGUAUAUUGCGACGCAUCGAUUUCGGGAUUGGGUGCAGUGUUAAUGCAGAGGGGUCAUGUGAUAGCUUAUGCGUCGAGGCAGCUGAAGCCUCAUGAGGCGAGAUAUCCCACGCAUGAUUUAGAGUUGGGGGCAGUAGUGUUCGCUCUCAAGAUUUGGCGUCACUACUUGUAUGGGGUUCGAUGUACGAUAUACACGGACCAUAAGAGUUUGAAGUAUUUGAUGGAUCAACCCAACCUAAAUAUGCGUCAGAGGAGGUGGUUGGAUGUGGUCAAGGAUUAUGAUUGUGAGAUCCUGUACCACCCAGGCAAGGCUAAUGUGGUAGCCGAUGCAUUGAGCCGCAGGGCGGAGAGCACUCCAUUGCGAGACGUAUGCUUGAGACUGACUGUGAUGACUCCAGUAUUGGACGCUAUUCGUGGGGCCCAGGCUGAGGCUGUGCGACCAGAAAUGCAGAAGAAAGAGCGGGUUGUGGGGUUAAUCUCAGAGUUUGUCAAGGAUAGUCGAGGCCUUAUGACGUUUCAGGGUCGGAUUUGGGUGCCGUUCGUGGGCGGUACGCGUAUUACGUUGAUGGAAGAGGCUCAUAAAUCGAAAUUCUCGAUCCAUCCCGGUGCUACAAAGAUGUAUUUGGAUUUAAGGAAGGAAUAUUGGUGGCCCUGUAUGAAGAGGGACGUGGCAUGGUUCGUUGAGAGGUGCUUGACCUGCCGUAGGGUUAAGGCUGAGCACCAGAGACCGCAUGGCAAGUUACAGCCAUUGGAGAUCCCCGAGUGGAAGUGGGAACAGAUUACUAUGGAUUUUAUCACCAAAUUGCCGAGGACUGCUAGGGGAGUUGACGCAAUUUGGGUGAUCGUGGAUAGGUUGACAAAGAGUGCACACUUCCUUGCCAUCAGUGAGAGUUCUUCGGCGGAGAAAUUGGCGGAGAUAUACGUGAGAGAGGUGGUAUCUCGGCACGGGGUGCCGAUCUCGAUUGUGUCAGACCGUGAUGUGCGCUUUACUUCCAGAUUCUGGAAGAAAUUCCAUGAGGAGCUGGGUACUAAAUUGCAUUUUAGUACCGCAUACCAUCCCCAGACAGACGGUCAGAGCGAGCGGACAAUUCAGACACUGGAGGACAUGCUCCGAGCGUGUGUGUUAGACUUCGGGGGUAGUUGGGAUGCGUAUUUACCAUUGGCAGAGUUUUCCUACAACAACAGCCAUCAUUCGAGCAUUGGUAUGCCGCCUUUCGAGCUGUUGUAUGGUAGGAGGUGUCGGACUCCCAUUUGCUGGGGAGAGGUGGGACAGAGAGUGAUGGGCAGCACGGAGAUCAUACUCCAGACGACAGAGCAGAUUCAACAAGUGAGACAAAGAUUAUUGACUGCCCAGAGCCGACAGAAGAGUUAUGCAGACAGGCGCCGAUCCGAGCUUGAAUUUCAAGUCGGCGACUUCGUUCUCCUGAAGGUCUCUCCUUGGAAAGGAGUGAUUCGGUUCAGGAAGAGAGGCAAGUUGGGGCCCCGGUAUAUUGGGCCAUUUCGUGUGAUUGCAAGGAUAGGUCGGGUAGCCUAUCGGUUGGAGUUGCCAGCGGAGUUGGGUCAGAUCCAUGACACUUUUCAUGUGUCGCAGUUGAGGAAGUGCAUAGCCGAUGAGUCGGCAGUGGUUCCAUUGGAGGAUAUUCAGGUGGAUGCGAGCCUGAAUUACGCGGAGAGACCAGUGGCUAUCAGGGAUCGGAAGAUCAAGGUUCUGAGGAACAAGGAAGUACCUCUGGUGUUGGUUCAAUGGCAACACCGUAAGGGAUCAGAAAUGACUUGGGAACCGGAGCGCGAAAUGCGGGAGCAGCAUCCGGAACUAUUUGCAGAGUGAGACUUCGAGGGCGAAGUCUAAUCCAAGUGGGGGAGAGUUGUAACAGCCCGGAAUCUCAGGUAUUAUUAAAAUUAUGUUUUUGGGGUGAUUUAAGAGGGGACUCGGCGAGUUGGAGCCUAGACUCGCCGAGUAGGAUCGCAGACUUGGUCGCGGGAUCGCGACGGGACUCGACGAGUCCAGGUAUGGACUCGGCGAGUCGACGCUGUUCAGCAGAAACCCUAACCGUUCAGUUUGAAUCGUAUAUAACGCCUCUUAGGCCGUCAUUUUCAGUCUUUUGGUCGAUUGAGAAGAACCCUAAUCGCUGUGGACGUCUAGAGCAGGAGAGAAAGCUUUUGGAACUUGGAAGAAUUGGUUAGACAAGAAGAAGAAGAAAUUGGUCAAAGGAAUAUCAAGGAGGAUCGAGUCCUGAGGUUUGGGGGACACAGAGAGAACGUUCUCAGGUAAUACUCGGAUCAAUUAUGUUAGUUAAUGUGCCUAUGAACCUAGGGUUUAUGAAAAACCCAUUUAGUGAUUAGAUGGGUUAUUAUGUUAUUACCCAGAUGUUAUACCCACAGUAAAGAGAUGUUUAGACGUCCAGAGGGUCCCAUGGUUGUAUAUCUUGGGACCAUACGUAAUUCAGGAAGCAGUUACUCGUCUGCAUGGCAUGGACUCGCCGAGUUGUUCUUCAGACUCGGCGAGUAGCUUGAAGAUUUACUGGGACUCGCCGAGUUGUUCUUCAGACUCGGCGAGUGGAGUCGGGGUGGCCCCGCGAUUCUUCCAGGAGUAACUCGUCGGGUCGAUGAGGGUACUCGACGAGUAGAUAAGGAAUCUCAGAAAGUUGGAAGACGUCUAGACUCGCCGAGUCGCCAUGGUACUCGCCGAGUCCGGUUGAGCUGACCGUUGACCGUUAACCAGAGUUGACCUAAGUCUGACUUCUUAGGGAUAGUCACACUUAGAAGUGAUAAGUAUUAAUGAGUUACGUAAUGUUAUAGGGAGGUUGUAGCUCGUCGGUGGUGCACGAGUCAUUUCAGGAGUUGCUAGCUUUCAGCAUAUACGAGGUGAGUCUUCUCACUAUACUGUACCCGGAAGGGUUUGACUGUGUGACCGGAAGGGCGAAUAUGUUAUGUGAUAUGUAUGCUAUAUGUGGUAAGUUAGUUGUUAUAUGUGCUAUGUAUGAUAUGUGGGCCGGAAGGCGAUUAUGUUAUGGGCCGGAAGGCGUUGUAAUGAGGACCGGAAGGUCAGGGCCUGGAAAGGCGUAUGUGUGUAAGUGUAUAUUGGGGAACUCACUAAGCAUUUAUGCUUACAGUUGUUGUGCAUGUAUUUCAGGUACUAGCGAGGACCGUGGGAAGGCGCCGGCAUGAUCGAUACACACUGAAGAUUGUUUUAUGAUCUUGGGAGUUUGAAUAAUUGUAUUGACCGAAUAAUUAAACUAUUUAUGCCUUGUUUUUAAUGGAAACAAUUAUGUUUUAAAAAUGAAAAUUUUGUUUGAAAAAUUUGAGUUGUUACACGUGACUACUGCAAUUUAAGACAACUUAAUGUAUUCAUCCCUUAAUCCUGUAAUCCAUCCGUUCCAACUUUACAGAAGGCCUUCUUACUCCAAAAACAUUCUAAAAAUUUAUGAUUUAUAGACACGCAUGUCCAAUGCACGUCUUGAUCUCAUAUUAGGUCAAAAUGUUGAAAAUGGAAUCACAAUCACUUGAAUGUCUUCAAAACUUAGACAAACUUUAGAUCCAACAUAUACAACCCUCAAGGGUCCUCAAGGACCUAUAACGUUUCCAGCUUUAUGGAAUCUUUCCAUCCAAACUACCACAACAUGAAGAAAAAGGGACAAGGAACCUAGAUCUAGAAGCAUGCAACAUGAAGCUUGGAUUUUGAACACUUACAAUGGUCCAAAAAUGACACAAAUGGAAACUCUAAUCUUGCCAAUAUGUUCCAUAUACCACAAGGUCUUUCUUCUUUUGUCCAAAUCACCAAAACACCAAGGGUAAGCUCACAAAUGGAGAAGAGGGUAUUUUGGUUUGCUCAAGGUUCUAGAGGGUGAUGGAGGAUGGAAAUAAAUCCCUAAAUCUGAGGUUAGAUGUUUAAAUAUAGAGGAAAACCUAAAAGAUCAUGGGCUUGGGUUGCAUAUGUAGUCACGCCAUAACCAUACCCAUGUCACGUGAUGUGACAUCCCCAUUUUCACGGCCAGAAAAUACAUAUUUUCUAUGCUCUAUUUGAAAAUCAGAGUAU